GAUGAACGCUGGCGGCGUGCCUAAUACAUGCAAGUCGAGCGAACGGACGAGAAUCUUGCUUCUCGGAUGUUAGCGGCGGACGGGUGAGUCACACGUGUAUAACCUACCUAUAUUACUGGUAUAACUUCGGAAAACCGGAUAUUAUAGCGUAGAAUAUUUUGAACCGCAUGGUGCGAAAGUGAGUGUCGGUGUUGCUGGCACGUAUAGAGGGAUCCGCGCUGCUUUGGAUAGUUGGUAAGGUAACGGCUUACGAAGGCAACGAUGCAUAGCCGACGUGAGUGGGUGGUAGGCCACCCUGGAAGUGGACCAGGGACAAGGGUACUACGGGAGGGCGCAGUAGGGAAUGUUCGGCAAUGGGCGGAAGCAUGACGGAGCGGCGCCGCGUGAGUGAUGAAGGUCUUCGGAUCGUAAAGAUCUGUUAUUAGGGAAGAACAUAUGUGUACGUUACUGUGCACAUAUUGACGGUACUUAGUAAGAAAGCACCGGCUAACUACGUG
rnacentral:rRNA from 1 species